CUUGAAACAGGGUCACUAAUGGAAAGUGGAGUCCUUUGCCUGUCCAAGGUAAGUAUUUGUUUUGCAGUGGCCACAAGGAGAGUUGUGUAUUCCUUUCAGAUCAGGGUACCAGCUAGGUGUAAUGGCACACGCCUGUAAUGUCAGCGACCUGGGAGGCUGAGGCAGGAAGAUCACAAAUUCAAGGCCAGGCUCAGCAACUUAGUGAGACCCUCAGCAACUCAGCAAGACCCUGUCUCAGAAUGAAAAAUAAUAAGGGCUGGGAAAGUUGCUCAAUGAUUGAGUACCCCUGGGUUUAAUCCCCAGGAACAACCCCCACCAGAAAAAAAGAUCAGGGUGCUGGUGACCUUAUGACCUGAGAAUGGUCAGAGAGCUGCUACCAGCUGGGGAGGUCCACACAGUGGCCUUAUCUCCAAACAUCCAUGAUGGGCUUCCCUAAGUCUAUGAAGGGAAGAAAGGGAGGAUGCCUUGGGUGUGGAAGGGAGGGGUUACCCAGUGGGAUUGGUGCAGUUCACUACAAAGAUCUCCCCCAAACUGGUGAGUCUGAUUGCAGCAGGUGGAAGGGAUCAAGGCCAGAGUCCAUUUCCUUUCCUGGAGGGAGGAGUUUCUCAGCUCACCUGUUGCUUCCCUGAUCUUAGGUAGCCUUUCCCUCCUUGUGUCUUUGGCCAAGGCUCUAGGCUAGAAUGUGUCCUUCCUUCAUGCCAAGAGAUGCUCUUGCUCAGGAAAAAGUAUAAGGGACAGCCCCAGGGAGACCUCUGCUCUCAGCCUCUGCCCAGGGGUUCAUGUGGUUCCAGCAGAGCAGGGCAGGAGUCCUCCAUGAUUAAGUUUCAGCUCCUACUAGUGAAGACACCAGAACCCAUCUGAACUCCUGACCCUCCCCCAACUGGAAUCUCAGGUGGAUGAGUCACAUUAGGGACCAUGGAAAAGGGCACUUUAAGCCUGUUUAUGAGAAAACAGAAGAGAAAAUGGGAAUGUCAACAUUCACCUCUAACAUCUAUCAUGGGCUUCAGAUGCUUCUCUUUACCAAAGUAAUGUUCAUACCCAACUGCCAGGGCUGUGUAAAUGAAGUCAGGGACCCUUAUGUUGGACACCCUCCUUGUCCUGAGUGCAGCUGGUGGGCUGUGGUUAUGUAACGGUGUAUUUAUCUUUCCUGCUUUUAUGGAAUGCUCGCUCAUCUUCUCACUUCCCCUUGUCUUCUGCAGGGAAGCCCAGUUCUGUCCUGUAGAAGGCUCCUGUUCCAGCAGUUUGGGGGUGCCAUCUGCUACUCUGACCAUCACAGGCCUGUUGCCCUACUGGCCACCUGCCCAUCAGACCGGCUUCCUGUGCCAUGUCCCAACCUGACCACGGCCCUGCUGGCUCCUUUAUCAACAUACCCUGCAAGAAUCUUCCCAUUUCUGGACAAGGCUUCAUUCCUGGAGGCUCCUCUGCUCUUGACCUCCAGCUGUGAUGUCUGUCUGGGUCAUUUGUCAUCAUCUUGCUUUGUCUGAAGGACAGAGAGUUGGGCAAGAAGGGAUCUAGGUAUGGGAGCUCAGUCAGAGACUGGGGAGCUCAUUUGCUUCAGAGGCAGAAGGUGAUGAGGUGGAGAGCAGAGGUGAUAGCAGAACAUAAGGUGGGCCCUGUCUGUCCUUGGUCACCGUGCAGUGCCUUCCUGGACUUGGAGACAGGAGCUUCACCACCACCAGUGCAUUUAGUGAUGUAGUGGAGGUAGAGGGGCUGCUUUCCCAGGAGCCAAGACUAGCAACAUCUUGGAGGUUGUCCUGAUAAAAAUAGGCUCCAAGCUGGGUGCAUACCUGUAAUUCCAGCAACUCUGGAGGCAGGAAGAUUGCAAGUUCAGGACCAGCCUUGGCACUUAGAGGGACUUUUUCUCAAAUUAAAAAAUUAAAAGCAUGGGGAUGUAGCUCAGUGAUAAAGCAACUUUGGGUUCAAUCCCCACCCCCACCCCCACCUAUCCCACCAAAAAAACCCUCCAUUGGUCCCUGAUCUCUGGAACUCCAAACAUAUACCUGCUUUUGUGCAAAACAUUUCUGAUCUAGUCCCAGGGAAAGGUCCAGGGAUGCUGUCAUCCGUGUUGCUAGGGGCUUGGGCUUGUGGAAGCACAGAGACUGAGCUGGGUAUGUCUGAGACCUGGGCUGCACACUUCCUUGAUUGUAGCUGAAACUUUUUCCCCACUAAUUUUAUGCAGAUUCCUGACUAUCCUUGAUGUGGGAGAAGCACCAGAAAAUCUUGCCCCUUUGAGCAGACAUUUUGUUUCCCUAGGAACAGCUGGGAAGCCAGGAAUGAGAAGGAGUUCUGAGAGAGGGAACAGGCCAAUGCUGGGCAUUUGAGGAAAACUACAGGGCCUGAGGGCUCAGCCAGCCUCCACUGGGUCCCAGUCUCCACUGGUUGUGGAAGACAUAGUUAUUUCAAUCCCCCUAUGAGUGAGAGGGGAAGAGGUGAGCUGGGGGGUAUGACGUGGCAGAUUCUGGUCAGGCCAAUGUGUGGGGGUUGAACUUAAGUGUGGGAAAGGAAUGCAGUGUCCCUCAGACCCUGCAUGUCCUUGGCAUCUGUGGAGUGUCUAGUGCAGCCUUGGGAGCUGCUUCCAUUUACUGUGCCCUCUGGGCAUGUCUGGGGCUCCAUCCCCCAAGCCUCUUACCCUUUCCAAUCAGAGCCACUUUCUCUGGGAUGAGCCAGCUGUCCUGAGGGAAAGCCCCCUGGCCUCUCACCUAUCUUAGUCUGCAGGGUGUUUUUGCUGCUGGGUUUAGGGUGAGGCACCCUCCAAGUCAAAUACAGUCUGAACAGCAGACCCUGGGUGGUGCUGCAGCUUGAAGCGCACAGGGCCUCUGGCAUAGGUGGUACAGUGCUGCGCUGCUGGGGUGUUGCUGGCUGGGCUCCCCAUUUUAAUGAGCAGAUGACAAGAUUUCUAAUCAAGUGCUUUAUCUAUACAAGGAUCUGGACCCAAUCCCAAGUCAAAGCAUAGAAAUGCAACACAUUUUUUUGGACUGAUAUUUCCUCCUUACUUUUGCCAUUAGCACAAAAUUUUGAUCUUUCAUUUCCCACUCUCGUGUUGGAUCCUGUCUGCAGACUGGGAGUGACUGCACCCCUUACCCUGUGUGGGACAUGUGCUUACAUAAAGUACUAGUCUGGUAAGAUUUAUUCUAGUUAGGAGGUCAACAAAAGAUCUUUUUAGCUGAAAGUCAGUGUAGUGGCACCCACUGCUGGAACGAGGCCUGCAGGUCUGGCGGCUUUCUGUUGGCUGGGUUUCUGAAGGAGCUUGAAAGGUCGAACUGCAUUUCUUUGAAAAUGAUUACAGGCUUCGGGCUCGCCUCUCUGGGUAGCUAGUAUUUACAGUUGGUUGUGCCAUGUUAUAUUGCAUUCUGGGGUCCUUUGAGGUUUCCAGAUUGUCCCCAUGCUGUCCUGUAUGGGAAUGUCAUACCUCCCUAUCUCUACUGCUCUAACUGCUCCUUCUGCAGCUACUAUGUGCCUGUUGGGCUUUGCCCCUGGCUCUGGGCCGGUGGGCAGGAUGGCUGGGUGUGUUCAGAAAAACAGACACAGGUUUGCUCCUGAAGAAGUACAGACAUGGGAGGUGGUCUUCACCCUCGGCUUGCUGUUGGGGUACUCUGGGUAGGAUCUGAGCUGCCACCUUCCUCUAGAUCAUGCCUCUCCAUCUUUAGAAAGUCCAUUUAUUGGCUUCCAGAGUAUGCAUUAUCUACCUACCAGAGGUCCUAGUGGAGACAAGGAAGAAGUGGAUGGGAAUGUGGCCCAGUCUCCCCUCACUCUCCUGGACCAUGGGCAGCUGCUCAGGUUCUUGGAGGGCUGUCCCCCACCUUACCCCACAUUCUGAUCCAGAAUGACUGUCCUUUUAUUGCUACACUCAGUCUUGGGGCUCAGAGACUUGCUGAAGCCCCCUAAGCCCUUAUGACUGAAUUUGUGUAGAUGGUGCUUAUGUUGGUAUUUGGGGCAUUUCCACUAUGACCUUCAUGAGAGGUUCUUCCGGUCACAUCUCUGUCUCUGGGGACCACCUGACUCACAGAAGAAACUACCCUUUGCAGGUGCUGUUGGGCACCCAGAUGUCUCUAGCUCCACUGAUGCUUGAAAACAGCUGCAGAAAAACUUGAGAUAGAAGGUCUUAGGUGGAGUUUCUGCCUAUGCUAAUGAAUGUCAAAUGAUGUUUCUUAGAAAAUAUGUGGUUCAGUUUUUGGGGGCAUAGUCUUGAAGCCCAAGCCUUCUGCCUUCUUUUACCAUCUCAUUCAACCAUGUCAUGACCCACAUGUGAAACCUUAGCCCCAGUGAACCCAUAGCCAGCUAGUGGCAAAGCUGAGACUAGAACUCACAGCCCAGGGUUCUGUCCUCUGCACCAGCUGUGUGACUGAUAGAGAAAGUGACUGGACCUUCCAGGUUUGGGGGAAGCCAUGUUGGGAGGUGCAGCACCUGGUGGGUCCUUGGUCUCUGCUAUUUUCUGUCAGGAGGGCUCUUCUCUUGGAUUGGUCAGUGAGGACCCCGGGAUUUGAUUUGAGCAAAGAGAAUGGAGAGGAAAAGGGAUUCCAGGGAACUGCUCCUCAGUGACCUCUGGUCUUCAGCUCCAGUCUAUAAGGUGGCGGAGGCCAGGGCACAGAUGCAGUUCACCACCCCCAGCUUCCUUGCUGCAAAUUAAGACAGAAGGUGGUAAAAGAAAACUCUCUCAUUUUUCUCUGAUUCUUAAAGGAAAGUGAUUAAUAGGAACCUAGGUUCAAUUGAUCAGCCGGGACAUGGCCUAUUUCACUUUCCUUACCUUGACCCUAGAAGGUGCCAACUCAAACACUACCUUUUUCAUUUGUUUCUUAGUCUAUAGAUUCAGCUGUGUUGUGGGGAAUGGUGGGGGAUUCAAGUAGAUCUUACAGCUCCAGGGGCUGGAAGGGACCAGGCCAGUCAUCCAUGUUCAGGACCCUCUGGCUCCUCCCCCACUCCAGCUAUUCCUUAUCAAAGUCAAGGGUAGGAUAAUGAAGUUUGCCAAGGCUGCCCCUGCAGCUUGGUGGGGGCCUGUGGGGGCAUUCCUCUACCCAGUUCCAGUAUCUGUUUUACCAUCAGCCCCGCAUCCACCCCUAUUCCCACCCCUCUCCUUUCAGCUGGGCCAUGUACCCCUUUGUGAGGAAGAAGAUACCCCCACUUAGGGCCACAGGCAGCGGAGUCCUGCCUACUGAGAGGCUGUUGGGACAGAGGCUCUGUCCUGUGCCUUAUCAGCCCUGGGGAGAGGAUGUUUGGCUGGAAGACUGGAAUUUAAUUGCCAUUGUCUUUGAUUUUGUGAUAUUUCUGCUUGGAGGGGUGAAACCCCCCUUCCCACUCUUUAGCAUGUGUGCCAACUCUCCCCUGUCAUGGGUGUUACCCUUCGACACUCCAGCUCAGGGAGUGCUGAUGUCCUCAUGUGAAGAGAUUCCUGUGUGAUAGAACCUAAGAAAUGUAGCUUGGAAGUGACCCCUGUGACGAUGACGUUUCUUUCUUUCCUCUUAGUGAGGAGGUGAUUUGUAGAUCCUGACUGCCUAUGUAAUGUAAAUAGUGUACAUUUAAUUUAUUGCUAUGGUAGCAUAUUGUAUUUGUUAAUGUAUAAAACAAAUUCUAAAAGGUUGACAAAUGUAUAUUUUGUUGCUUAA
rnacentral:lncRNA from 1 species